GAUGAACGCUGGCGGCGUGCUUAACACAUGCAAGUCGAACGAAGCAUUUGCGACAGAUUUUUUCGGAAUGAAGUUGCUUAUGACUGAGUGGCGGACGGGUGAGUAACGCGUGGGUAACCUGCCUUGUACUGGGGGAUAGCAGCUGGAAACGGCUGGUAAUACCGCAUAAGCGCACGAUGUUGCAUGACAUGGUGUGAAAAACUCCGGUGGUAUAAGAUGGACCCGCGUCUGAUUAGCUAGUUGGUGAGAUAACAGCCCACCAAGGCGACGAUCAGUAGCCGACCUGAGAGGGUGACCGGCCACAUUGGGACUGAGACACGGCCCAGACUCCUACGGGAGGCAGCAGUGGGGAAUAUUGCACAAUGGAGGAAACUCUGAUGCAGCGACGCCGCGUGAGUGAAGAAGUAAUUCGUUAUGUAAAGCUCUAUCAGCAGGGAAGAUAGUGACGGUACCUGACUAAGAAGCUCCGGCUAAAUACGUG
rnacentral:rRNA from 1 species